rnacentral:sRNA from 1 species
ACACUGAGAGAAGAAAGAGUCAAUGAGAGAUCUGCAUAUAUCCAUAUUUACCUUGCUUUCACUCUCGGUUGGCUCAAUCAUAAGAGUUCCAGGGACAGGCCAAGACAUUGUGGGUCCAUGGAAUCCAUAGUCCAUUAGCCGUUUCGCCACAUCCUCUGGUUCUAUUCCAGCAGUGUUCU